rnacentral:rRNA from 1 species
GACGAACGCUUUCUUCUUUCUUAACACAUUCAAGUCGUACGGUAAGGCCCUUUCGGGGGUACACGAGUGGCGAACGGGUGAGUAACACGUGAGUAACCUGCCCACAACUUUGGGAUAACGCUAGGAAACUGGUGCUAAUACUGGAUAUGUGCUCCUGCUGCAUGGUGGGGGUUGGAAAGCUCCGGCGGUUGUGGAUGGACUCGCGGCCUAUCAGCUUGUUGGUGGGGUAGUGGCCUACCAAGGCGGCGACGGGUGGCCGGCCUGAGAGGGUGACCGGCCACAUUGGGACUGGGAUAAGGGCCAGACUCCUACGGGAGGCAGCAGUGGGGAAUAUUGCACAAUGGGCGCAAGCCUGAUGCAGCAACGCCGCGUGCGGGAUGAAGGCAGUCGGGUUGUAAACCGCUUUCAGCAGGGAAGAAGCUUUUUGUGACGGUACCUGCAGAAGAAGCACAGGCUAAAUACGGG